rnacentral:rRNA from 1 species
UACGUAGGUGGCAAGCGUUAUCCGGAUUUAUUGGGCGUAAAGGGAACGCAGGCGGUCUUUUAAGUCUGAUGUGAAAGCCUUCGGCUUAACCGGAGUAGUGCAUUGGAAACUGGGAGACUUGAGUGCAGAAGAGGAGAGUGGAACUCCAUGUGUAGCGGUGAAAUGCGUAGAUAUAUGGAAGAACACCAGCGGCGAAAGCGGCUCUCUGGUCUGUAGCUGACGCUGAGGUUCGAAAGCGUGGGUAGCAAACAGG